UACGGGGGGGGCAAGCGUUGUUCGGACUUACUGGGCGUAAAGGGCUCGUAGGCGGCCAACUAAGUCAGACGUGAAAUCCCUCGGCUUAACCGGGGAACUGCAUCUGAUACUGGAUGGCUUGAGUUUGGGAGAGGGAUGCGGAAUUCCAGGUGUAGCGGUGAAAUGCGUAGAUAUCUGGAGGAACACCGGUGGCGAAGGCGGCAUCCUGGACCAACACUGACGCUGAGGAGCGAAAGCCAGGGGAGCAAACGGG
rnacentral:rRNA from 1 species